rnacentral:rRNA from 1 species
CACCGCGGUUAUACGAGAGGCCCAAGCUGACAGCUAUCGGCGUAAAAUGUGGUUAAAUUAACUUAAGAUAAUAAAGUCGAAUGCUCUCAUAACUGUUAUACGUACUCGAAAGCCAGAAGCUCCCCUACGAAAGUGACUUUAGAAUUAUUGAACCCACGAAAGCUAAGAUA